rnacentral:rRNA from 1 species
AACGAACGCUGGCGGCAUGCCUAACACAUGCAAGUCGAACGAAGUCUUCGGACUCAGUGGCGCACGGGUGCGUAACGCGUGGGAAUCUGCCCUUGGGUACGGAAUAACUCAGAGAAAUUUGUGCUAAUACCGUAUAAUGUCUUCGGACCAAAGAUUUAUCGCCCAAGGAUGAGCCCGCGUAAGAUUAGCUAGUUGGUGGGGUAAAAGCCUACCAAGGCGACGAUCUUUAGCUGGUCUGAGAGGAUGAUCAGCCACACUGGGACUGAGACACGGCCCAGACUCCUACGGGAGGCAGCAGUGGGGAAUAUUGGACAAUGGGCGAAAGCCUGAUCCAGCAAUGCCGCGUGAGUGAUGAAGGCCCUAGGGUUGUAAAGCUCUUUUACCAGGGAUGAUAAUGACGGUACCUGGAGAAUAAGCUCCGGCUAACUCCGUG